GGCGCGAAAGCNUGGGANCAAACAGGAUAAGAUACCNUGUUAGUCCACCCCGUAAACGAUGAAUGNUAGNUGUAAGGGGUUUCGAUACCCUNGNUGCCGAAGUUAACACAUUAAGCAUUCCGCNUGGGGAGUACGUUCGCAAGACUGAAANUCAAAGGAAUUGACGGGNACCCGCACAANCANUGGANUAUGUGGUUUAAUUNGAAGCAACGCGAAGANCCUUACCAANUCUUGACAUCCNUNUGAAUCNUCNAGAGAUAGAGNCGNCNUUCGGGANAGAGGUGACAGNUGGUGCAUGGUUNUCNUCAGNUCGUUUCGUGAGAUGUUGGGUUAANUCCCGCAACGAGCGCAACCCUUGAUUUUAGUUGCCANCACUUNGGGUGGGCACUCUAGAAUGACUGCCGGUGACAAACCGGAGGAAGGCGGGGAUGACGUCAAAUCAUCAUGCCCCUUAUGACUUGGGCUACACACGUACUACAAUGGCUGGUACAACGGGAAGCGAAGCCGCGAGGUGGAGCCAAUCCUAUAAAAGCCAGUCUCAGUUCGGAUUGCAGGCUGCAACUCGCCUGCAUGAAGUCGGAAUUGCUAGUAAUCGCGGAUCAGCAUGCCGCGGUGAAUACGUUCCCGGGUCUUGUACACACCGCCCGUCACACCACGAGAGUUUACAACACCCGAAGUCGGUGGGUAACCCGUCAAGGGAGCCAGCCGCCGAAGUGGGUAGUGAUG
rnacentral:rRNA from 1 species